rnacentral:hammerhead_ribozyme from 1 species
AUCGACCUGACGAGUCCCAAACAGGACGAAAUGCGCAUCUUGGAU